UCCCUGGUGGUCCAGUGUUUAGGACUCCAUACUUUUAAUGCUGAGGGCCCAGGUUCAAUCCCUGGUUGGGGAA